AUAUUUCAAUCAGCUCAUAGAAUUUUAUUAUGGUUAACCACAAUUAAAGGUGUUAAUUUUGGGGAGCCAUGGGCUGUAAUCUCUAGCAAUGAUUUACCAUACUUUUUUUUUUGGUAGCGUCUGUGCAAGAGGAGGAGAUUUCUGAAAAAGAAUAAGUGCUCAUUCAACUUACUGCGAUUUUAACGGGCUUAAAGCUUGGUCCAUGGAUGGUUAUGUUUGAGGAUUUGCCAAUUCGACCGCAAGUGCUGCUGCAAGAAAUUAAACAUGCAGAGACCUUACAAAUUACAAAGAAGUCUGAAGAAAAUUUUUAUUGGACAGAUGGGUGUAAAGCACAGACCUGAGAUAUAAAUUGAAUUGUGAGAAAUAUGAAUCAGGGAUGCAGGUAGAAAAUGGCAAAUGUGAUCCAGAUUGAUAAAAAAUGUCUAAAAUUUUUUCUUGUUUUGUAAAUAUUCAAUGCUAUGUCAAUUAUUUUUUCCCCAAUACCUAAUAGUGUUGAACAUUUCACUCCCACUUUUGCUUAAAUAGAAUGAAUAAAUUUCCAUUUAUUUAAUAUGAAUAUUAAAAAAUGCCACAUUUUUUCCAUGAUGAACUUGUGGCUUAAAUAAGAGUUCCAGUUUUUUUUCCAUACAUGCUCCUAUUUGUUUGUCAAAGAUAUAAGAUCCAAUACAUUGCUCAUGAACAUAAUGUGUAAUUUUGUUCAUUCAUUUAUAUGUUUUUUUCUCAUAAUGAUAUAAUAAAUUGUAUAUAAUUUU